UGUGGGAGCGAGCCUGCUCGCGAUGAGGGCGGCAGAUUCAGCAUUUAUGUGUGCUGAAGCACCGCUAUCGCGAGCAGGCUCGCUCCCACA
rnacentral:misc_RNA from 1 species